AGAGUUUGAUCCUGGCUCAGAAUGAACGCUGGCGGCAUGCCUAACACAUGCAAGUCGAACGAAGGCUUCGGCCUUAGUGGCGCACGGGUGCGUAACGCGUGGGAAUCUGCCCUUGGGUUCGGAAUAACAGUUAGAAAUGACUGCUAAUACCGGAUGAUGACGUAAGUCCAAAGAUUUAUCGCCCAAGGAUGAGCCCGCGUAGGAUUAGCUAGUUGGUGAGGUAAAGGCUCACCAAGGCGACGAUCCUUAGCUGGUCUGAGAGGAUGAUCAGCCACACUGGGACUGAGACACGGCCCAGACUCCUACGGGAGGCAGCAGUGGGGAAUAUUGGACAAUGGGCGAAAGCCUGAUCCAGCAAUGCCGCGUGAGUGAUGAAGGCCUUAGGGUUGUAAAGCUCUUUUACCCGGGAUGAUAAUGACAGACCGGGAGAAUA
rnacentral:rRNA from 1 species